UACGUAGGGUGCAAGCGUUAAUCGGAAUGACUGGGCGUAAAGGGUGUGUAGGCGGUCUGCAAAGUCUGAUGUGAAAUCCCCGGGCUUAACCUGGGAACUGCGUUUCUAACUGGCAAGCUUGAGUGUGGCAGAGGGGGGUGGAAUUCCACGUGUAGCAGUGAAAUGCGUAGAUAUGUGGAGGAACACCGAUGGCGAAGGCAGCCCCCUGGGCUAACACUGACGCUCAUGCACGAAAGCGUGGGGAGCAAACAGG
rnacentral:rRNA from 1 species